rnacentral:rRNA from 1 species
UACGUAGGGUCCGAGCGUUGUCCGGAAUUAUUGGGCGUAAAGGGCUCGUAGGCGGUUUGUCACGUCGGGAGUGAAAACACGGGGCUUAACCCCGUGCCUGCUUCCGAUACGGGCAGACUAGAGGUAUGCAGGGGAGAACGGAAUUCCUGGUGUAGCGGUGAAAUGCGCAGAUAUCAGGAGGAACACCGGUGGCGAAGGCGGUUCUCUGGGCAUUACCUGACGCUGAGGAGCGAAAGUGUGGGGAGCGAGCAGG